UACGUAGGGAGCAAGCGUUGUCCGGAUUUACUGGGUGUAAAGGGUGCGUAGGCGGUCUUGCAAGUCAGACGUGAAAACCACAGGCUCAACCUGUGGACUGCGUUUGAAACUGUGGGGCUUGAGUGAAGUAGAGGUAGGCGGAAUUCCCGGUGUAGCGGUGAAAUGCGUAGAUAUCACGCAGAACUCCGAUUGCGAAGGCAGCAUACCGGCGCCCAACUGACGCUGAAGCACGAAAGCGUGGGUAUCGAACAGG
rnacentral:rRNA from 1 species